rnacentral:rRNA from 1 species
GCCACAAACCUAGCCCAACAGAUUCUUAUGUUAUAGAUUAAACUAAAAAACCUAAAUAAACCAUUCUAAUGUUUUAGUAAAGGAGAUUGAAAAUAUUAUUGGAGCUAUAUAAACAGUACCGCAAGGGAACAGUGAAAUAAUAAAUUAAAAUUCAAGCAACAAAAAGUAAAGACCACCCCUUGUACCUUUCGCAUCAUGGUUUAACUAGUCUAAUCAAGCAAAACGUAUUUUAGUUUGACACCCCGAAACUAAGUGAGCUACUUCAAGGCAGCUAAAAGAGCAAACCCGUCUCUGUAGCAAAAGAGUGGGACGACCAUCAAGUAGCGGUGAUAGACCUAACGAACUUAGUGAUAGCUGGUUACUCAAGAAACGGAUUUUAGUCCAACCUGAACUUUAGCCCUUAAUAGUAUACUAAAACAACCAUGUUAUUUCAGCGUAAUUCAAAUAAGGUACAGCCUAUUUGAAACAGGAUACAACCUAGACCAACGGAUAAGAUUAGCCUAAUGAACAAUCAAGUUGGCCUAAGAGCAGCCACCUUUCAAAUUGCGUCAAAGCUUAGUUGUUCUAACGCCUAAUUACCAAACUUUUAUCUUAAUCCCCCAUCAGUACUGAGUAGCUCUAUAAUAUUAUAGAAACUUUUAUGUUAAAACUAGUAACAAGAAGAAGACCCUUCUCUUAAAUGUUAGUGUAAAUCAGAAAGGACAUACCACUGAUACUUAACACCCAUGAACCUAAAGUAGUAACUAACCAAGAAAACCCUACUCUAAUUAACGUUAACCUAACACAAGAGCAUUUUAAGAAAGAUUUAAUAAAUAAGAAGGAACUCGGCAAAUAUUAACCCCGCCUGUUUACCAAAAACAUCGCCUCUUGAAUUUAAUAAGAGGUCCAGCCUGCCCAGUGACUCUGUUCAACGGCCGCGGUAUCCUAACCGUGCGAAGGUAGCGUAAUCACUUGUUCUUUAAAUGAGGACUAGUAUGAAUGGCACCACGAAGGUUAUACUGUCUCCUUUCUUUGAUCAGUGAAAUUAAUCUCCCCGUGAAGAAGCGGGGAUAAACCUAUAAGACGAGAAGACCCUAUGGAGCUUUAAACAACAUAGCAAUUACCUAAACAAAUUUAAACAAACUUAUCAAGUAAUAUGACUAUACGUUUUUGGUUGGGGUGACCAUGGAGUACAACACAACCUCCACGUUGAAAGAACGCUACUCUAAGCCAAGACCCACCUAUCAAAGCAUCAAUAUUUUGACAUUAAUUGACCCAAUACUUUUGAACAACGAACCAAGUUACCCUAGGGAUAACAGCGCAAUCCACUUUAAGAGCCCCUAUCGACAAGUGGGUUUACGACCUCGAUGUUGGAUCAGGGUUUCCAAGUGGUGCAGCCGCUACUA